rnacentral:tRNA from 1 species
GUCCGAGUAGCUCAGCUGGAUAGAGCAACAGCCUUCUAAGCUGUAGGUCACAGGUUCGAAUCCUGUCUCGGACG